rfam:Solanum lycopersicum DNA, chromosome 8, clone: C08SLm0073D06.
AUGUAAUUAGUGGGUUUAGGGUCUGAAAAACUCAGAAAAUUAGUGCUGUUUAUCAGCUUCUUCUCUUGAAUAAUUCAACGAGAUGGAGUUAAAUCAUGGCACUAAAUGU